CAGUAGCCGCGGGAAAACCAGCACCUCGAGUGGUCAGGAGGUUUAUUGGGCCUAAAGCAUCCGUAGCCGGUUGCAUAAGUUUUCGGUUAAAUCUAUGCGCUUAACGUAUAGGCCGCCGAAAAUACUGUGCAGCUAGGGAGUGGGAGAGGUACACGGUACUCGAUAGGAAGGGGUAAAAUCCUUUGAUCUAUUGAUGACCACCUGUGGCGAAGGCGGUGUACCAGAACACGUUCGACGGUGAGGGAUGAAAGCUGGGGGAGCAAACAGGAUUAGAUACCCCAGUAGUCCCUGUCUCUUAUAA
rnacentral:rRNA from 1 species